rnacentral:rRNA from 1 species
UACAGAGGGUGCAAGCGUUGAUCGGAGUUACUGGGCGUAAAGGGCGCGUAGGCGGUUAUAUGAGUGUGAUGUGAAAGCCCCGGGCUUAACCUGGGAAGUGCAUCGCAAACGAUAUAACUGGAGUAGAUGAGAGGGUGGUGGAAUUUCCGGUGUAGCGGUGAAAUGCGUAGAGAUCGGAAGGAACGUCAAUGGCGAAGGCAGCCACCUGGCAUCAUACUGACGCUGAGGCGCGAAAGCGUGGGGAGCGAACAGG